rnacentral:rRNA from 1 species
GACGAACGCUGGCGGCGUGCUUAACACAUGCAAGUCGAACGGUAAGGCCCCUUCGGGGGUACACGAGUGGCGAACGGGUGAGUAACACGUGAGCAACCUGCCCUUGACUCUGGAAUAACAGUUGGAAACAGCUGCUAAUACUGGAUAUUCAUCGUCUCCUUCCUGGGGGGUGGUGGAAAGCUCCGGCGGUCAGGGAUGGGCUCGCGGCCUAUCAGCUUGUUGGUGAGGUAAUGGCUCACCAAGGCUUCGACGGGUAGCUGGCCUGAGAGGGCGACCGGCCACACUGGGACUGAGAUACGGCCCAGACUCCUACGGGAGGCAGCAGUGGGGAAUAUUGCACAAUGGGCGCAAGCCUGAUGCAGCAACGCCGCGUGCGGGAUGACGGCCUUCGGGUUGUAAACCGCUUUCAGUAGGGACGAAGGGUGACUGACGGUACCUACAGAAGAAGGACCGGCUAACUACGUG